CCGAAAGUAAUGUAUUGAUAUGUGGAAAUAGAUUACAAAGUCUACGGGUGUACAUAUUUAUACCCUUAGGUUGAUAUUAGUCCUAAUCGGACAAGAUACAAGUUUCCUAAAGAUAAAAGAAAAGAUAUAAGUCCUGAUCGGUUGAUUGACUUCUUUCCUUAACUGAAUCCUCUAAACAACCGUAUCAAAUUUUGGUGUUAACAGCUUGACGAUGACUCAACAAAGAACGACAAGCGAUGCUCACGGGCAAAGCACCAUGAUGACGACGAGAACAGAGGCCUACCUGGCAGAUCAGGAUCGAUCCCACUCAGGGUGAAGCGCGAUGAUCAUGCAGACUAUGAAUGAAAAAAAAAACAGGUGGCUGGGCCGUAUUAGAUCAACAAAUGCAGAAGAUGAUGAAAUUUGAAGGACAUGAAAAGGUCACAGAUUAAUCAAAAUGGGUACAAUUCAGUUGUUUUUCUUAGAAUAAAUAGAAGUAGCCAGCUAAGAGCUAAACUACAAAUUGAAUGCAAGUGUUUAAGCUUAGCACUAAUGCCACCAUGCGCUUCAGUCACCCAGCUCCAGUGUUCCCAUCUCUGAAAAAAAAUCGAACAGCAUUGGAUCAAUUCCAAAAAGAAUCAGGAAGACAAGCUUUAUCAUCUAGAAAAUGGAGCUUUAGGAAAUGACUAUACAUAAAGUUCAGAAAUCAACCCAGUACUGAAAAUUGGUCUUAAAAUCAAUCCAGUACUACCAGGCCAAGGGUAUAGGGUCCCAAGAAGGAGGAGGCUGGUCUUCUCCAACUCUAAUUGGUGGACAUGCAAUCUACAAAGCAGACACAAUUUACAUUAGUAAAAUUAAAAUAUUUCUAAAGUGCAAGGCCCUAUAUGUGCUAGUACCAAUAAAAAUUGAAAUAAUUUUCAAUUGAGAUCAAACCGAGAAUUUUCAAUUAUGUUCAUAUUGGACAUGGAUAGGUACAAUUAUGUAGAUCAAAAUGCUUGUGCAAAAAUCAAAUCUUGACUUCUGUUUUGUCCUAUACUAAUCAUAUUCAUAAAUGUAUAACCAGAUGAGAUAUACAAUAAGGAGCAAAAGACGUUGAAUCUGUCAGGAACUUACCAUGUUGUGCAUCUAUGGUAUGUACUCUAACCAUCAUACUAAUCUAAUUUGUUGGAUAAAGAUAAAAGAGGCCACGUUAACUGGUGACUGCUUAAAACUCGACAAACAGCAGUAACCAGGUACUGCACCUCACAAUUCUACCUUUAAUAAACAUUCUUCCAAACUUGGUUUGCUUGAAUCAUCUAAGAUAUGAAAUACAUAGCUAGCUUGCACGAUGACUUUCGAGGCAGCACAUGGUGUCUCAGUGAUACUGGAAUCAAUCAUCCUAAUCAGUAUUUCAGUGAAAGUCAGAAAGUUUUGAAAGCAAAGGUGAGCCACCAUAGUUGAUUUGCAUUAAUUUUUGCAUUUUGUCAGCAUAUGAUAUGUUCAAAUUGACAUUAAUUUCAUUUUAUUCCACAAAAUCAAGCAGUGCAGAGCAAGGAGCAACCUAAAUUGUGAUGCUGCUCAGUCCAUCCAAUAUGCAGAAAAUCAGGUUUAAUCAAGACACUGAUUAAUAACCUAAGAAAGGCUUAUUCCAACGAGAACCAUCAGUCCUCUAGAUCCGCUAGCUACAUCAAAAUUGCACACCAUCUUUAACCAAGAACCUUGGACCAAGAACCAAACCCUAGGAAGGAUAGGGAGAAGAGAGGGGAAGGAAGAGAGACUCACCGGUGAGAAAGUGGCCAGCGGAGGGGACGGUCGGCGGAGGGGAGAGCGCCGCCUCCGGGGAGAGUGCCGCGUCGCCGUCGCGCCGUCGACUCUCAAUCCGCACCCGCGCCACCGCCGCUGCUUUCCCCUAUGCGUUGAUAGUUUCCUCCUGUGCGCGAGGGUUUCUUCCACGCCUCUUGGGUCGAUGAUUU
rnacentral:lncRNA from 1 species